AAUGCUGAAUUAAAAUUGUUUUGUUCUCCACCUCUUUUUUUCCUCCUCCUUGUGCCAGCCCAGCUGUUCACGAAGCCACACAACACACUGGAUUGGAGAAGCUGGUGAGGAGAGGUAGCCUGGCCAAAAGGAAAGAGCCUUGCAGCCUGAGUCAGCACCCGGGGUGUUAAACGUUUUGGUGAUGCUUUUAGCAAUUAAGUCACAGAGACCUGUAAGAUGAAAACCCACGUGGAUUAAUCAGAUGUCAUCUAAGGCGCUCUCACUGCAACUGCAUCCCCACGUAGACUGGAAGGAGGAUUGAUUUUUUUUUUUUUUUUUUUUAAGGCAGGGAAUUGGGGUUUUGGGGGAACAAAGUCCUGGUCCUGCCACGCUGCUGUGCCGCCUCGUGUGGGUUGUCGCCUGCCUCGGUCCCUGCCGAAGAAGUGCGCUGCUGGGUGAGUCCAGAUGAAGUUCUCUGUUCUCCUGUGCUUCCUAUUUGCCAUUUGGGAAAGGGGAUGCUCGGCUGUUGGACAGCUUUGAGCAAAACCAGCCUCCGGGGCAGAGCCCAGGUGGAGCUUCAAGGGGAGAGGAGAGGGCAGACCUCAGCCUUGCCCACCCUUGACACCACAGGAAGUCACACUUAGAUCUGCACCAUCAUCAGCAGGACUAAAACUACCCGGUGUGCAGAAAUACCAUCUCCUGUGGGCACCGUGCGGAGCAGAAGAAGAAGGCAGCGUGGAGCAGGCUGGGGAGAGUGAAGGAGCACGCCAGGAGCCAUCGGCUCCACGGCACCGCGCUGCCUGCGGGAGGACGGAGGGUUCUUUGCUGCUGGAAACCCCUGGCAGCAGAAGUCAUCUUCCCAUCAUAGCAUGUUUUAAUCUGGUCCUCCUGGAAGGUGGGACUGGCCUGGGUACUGCCAUUGCUUGGGCUUGCGUUGUACCUGAGAGACGUCGUGUUAAAAUUUGCAGUUGCUGUUCUGCAGCCGCUCUGGUGAAAUAGGAUCAACUUCUAAAGGAUGGGAUCGUUCUCCGAACCGAGCACCACCCUUAAAUCUCCAACUCGCCGGGUGCUCCAGGAUGGCACCUGCUGUGUGGGACAGGAGGAGCUGCGCUGUGAGGAUCCCCUUGGAUUAAAACCAACCUUUCACUGUCCUCGCAGCCUUUUUUCUUUAGGACAAGAGCAGAGCCUCAGGUGCUGGCCCAGGUUCGCCUUUCCCAUCCCUGCCAUUGGGGCCGGGGAGGCAGAGCAGCUUGUUGGGACGCGUCCUGCUCGCUUCGUUUGCCUCUCCAAUAUUCCUUCCUUAGCACGUUUCCCGACUUCAGACUGGCUUUUCCUGCUCCCAGUCCCGCAGAUGCUGAUUUAACAACAACAAAAAAAGGAACUUGUAUUUUUCCAGCCUGUCCGGCACUGCCAGGGACUGGGCACCCACUGCUCCCCCUGGAGCACCCCCUACACGUGUAGGGCAGCAAGGGCUAGUGAGGUAAAGGCUGUGCUGGCGCGGGCACCCAGAUUUGUCCCUGUUGCCCACUGGCAGCACUUAGGGGGAUAGGUUGGCCUCGGCUGCUGGCUGCAGAGCUGCCCUCUGGCAGCUCAAGGCAUCGGGGUUUCUCCCCCUCGGGAUCUUUUUCCCUUUUCACACCGAGUUUUCUCCUCUUGGACCUUUGAGCUGCUACCUAUCGUGUCUCGACGCGCUCUGUCCUCGGUUUUACCUUUCUUAUCUUGCAGGGCUCUGUGCUCUUUCUCACAAUUUGGCAAUCUCUGUGCUCAGAGGCAGGGUUAUCCAGCUGGGCUCUAUCAGGGAGGCCUUGGAUCGCAGCUGAACCUCCAGGACGGGGCGGUUUCAGGGCCAGCUUGCUGCGAGCUCUGUCUGGCUUGCGUUCGAGCCAGUUCCACGCUCCAGAUGGUUGCCUCGGCGCUGGAGGAGGAGGUAACCUGGUUAUUAAAUCACUCCUGCUGCUUUGGCAGCCUGGGGCAUCUUCCACCCUGGCGUGAGAGUGGUCUAGAAGAGAAGCGUGCUCUGAGCCAGGGUUACACAGUCAGUAAACUCACCAGCGAGCGAUUCCAGCUGCUCCAUCAUUCUUCGGGAGCAGGAGAAGCCUUCUUGCUCAGCCGAGAGCGUGUAUCGGGGCCCUGGAGACAGCAGGACGUUUGCUUUUUGACCUCCACACCGUGCUGGGUGAGCUCUGCUGGGCCCUGGGUGUGUGGUUCAGAUGGGGAACCGAUGGUUGCAGGACGCAGUAGAUGCCAGACAUGAUAUGCAUUCAAAAAGCAGCUAAACACGGGGAAUAAAAAUCCGUCAAGGGCUAUAUAAUACAAACACGGGCUGUGACCCUGUGCAUUACGGUGUCAGAAGCACAGCUGCAGGUUCUCCUCCAUGCACCGUGUCCUCACGGGGUGCUGGUGGCCUUUUAGGGCUGGGACAGCCCCGUGGUUUGACGCAGUUUGCUGAGGCUACUGCAGGGCUCGCAGCAGAUGGAGCGAUACUGCUGAUGCUCCCACGUCUCAGCUUCCCCGGGGGCUCUAAAUGCACUCUGCAGGCUCUGCAGACAAACAAGAGAGUUCUCUGUGUUUAUUUUCCUGCUGCAGCUUUUCUUCUUUUAAGAGAGACAGCUGCUUUUGAGAAUGGUGCUUAACGGUUCUUUCAAACUCAAUUAGGCACUCAGGAGCCAGGAGCUGCAAGCCCACAGCUUCUACAGCUCGCAGAGGAUUUUUCCACCUGCAGCUUCUGUUAAACCGCGGCUUUCCAAGACGUCCCCGCUCGGCCAGCUGAGCAUCCAGCAAGUGGCCGUUGGUUAGUGCCUGAAAGCUGGAAGCCUUGGAAACGGGGGCCACUCCUGCUUUGCUUGCUCACCUAACUUUGAAAUUAUCUGAAAGCAAUUUCAUCCAUCACUUCCUUUCUUUAAAAGGAAAAAAAAGAAUCUUAAAAAUAAAUAAAUCAGGUUCUGUCCCAAUCUGGAACUGAGCUGAAUGUUGUAUCUACAAGAAAUGCCUUUUUUUUUUUUUUUUCAGACUUGACAACAAACCAUUCAUCUAUUUGAAACUGCAGGAUGGUGAAUCUGAAGUGUUUUUUCCUUUUGUGAUCAGUGCAUAGCAGGGUGCGAUGUUUUGUGUAGGAUCUUCUGCUCAUCCCCGAGCCGGCGUCCUGAGGGAUGCGAUUAAUAGCUGUCGUGCGUGGUUGGCUCCAACCCUGGUCUCUGGCUUGGGAGAUGUCUGUGCCGUGGAGGGCUUUAGUUUUGCCAGCAGAGCUCUGUGAAAGGUUUCCGUCCAAGGAGAUUGCUUCUGGUACUUUAAGGUUGGUCUUUGUCCUGGCUAAAAAGUUAAGACCUCAAAAAAAAAUUAUAUAUAUAUAUAUAUAUAUAUACACACACAUGCAUGUUUUUGUAUGACCCUUUUUUUCUUUAAUUAGUUAAGUUCACCAGAGUGUUUCCUUUUGGUGCCUUUAACAAACCACUUCAGUAUUUCAGGAUGCCUGUUGGGGUUGCUGAGCUGAAGGCUCCAGGUUGCUGCACCGUUCAGAGCCGUGCUCUGGGCUGCUUUGCGCUGUGUUUUUGUGGUCUGGAUGCUGGAGAAAGGGGUCUGGGCUGGCUGCAGGACGCGUGCCAGAAGAACCGUGCUGGACAGGACGAAGAACACUGCCCGUGGUGAACGGCAUGUCCUCGCAGGCUGGAAAUGGCCUCACCCAACCCUCCCUGAAGCAGCUUCUCAGCCAGCCCUGGCGGUGGGAAGGAGGAGAAGAGAGGAGGAAGAAAUGACGUUGGGCUCGUGGGCAUCUGAGUCCAUCACGGUAUUCCCCUUCCUGAGCAUUUGGUCUUUCACAGCUGUUUGUUUGACAGGUUGCCAUCUCUUGGGCAGAUGGAGGUCGUUCUCCACCCUUCUCGUCCCACCGUCACUUGCUCGGCCAGCCCUGGGUCACCUUUGUCUUCCCUGUCAUGUUUAAUGCCUGCUCCUGCUGUGCUGCCGAACCUUUUGCCACGGGGUGCAGGAGCACCGAGGGAUCCAUCCGUACGCAAAGCUUGCGUGAGGGGCCUGCUUCUGCGAGGCAAAGCAUCCCAACAACUGCAGUGGUAGCCUCAAGGAGCCUCAAACAGUGUCCUCAGGUGGGCACUAUUUGGGUUGGGAAGCUAGCAAAGAAUUUGUGCUGUCGGAUGGGAGAACAGAAGAAUUUUAUCUGUGACUGUGGAGUAUCUUCUCUAAUGGAAAACUCAAGGCUCUUCUCCCUUCCUCUAACUGAGGAAAGGAUGAAAUCCUGUUUCCUCUCCACUGAAGAGGAAACCAUACUAUUUCUCGUGGGGUUUGAAGCCUUGCUGUGCGUUCUGGCCCACGCUAUCUCAUGUACCCACUGCACAGCCCGACUAUUACCCUUUGAGGCCAGAUCCAGCUGAACUCUGAUAGAGGAGAGCAAUUAAAUUGUCCCAUGCCCUUAAUAAGCAUUGUUCUUUGUGGUGCGUGACAAACUUGGUAUGAGUCUUUGUCUGAAUUUUUGCUUAAAAUAGUUUGGUUUUCAUCUUUCCCGGGGUACAUUCCUGAGCCCUUACUGUAUUGCAACAUCUGCUCCUCACACACCUGUAGGAGCUUGUUCUCAUACCAGCUCGGGUGUUGUUCAGAGGAUACAGACCUUUAGGAAAGCAGACCAUGAUUUACUGGAUGGCGAAGGCUUCUGGCAAACAAACUCUUCUCUCCUGGCCUGAAAGCUGCCUGAGACACUGCUCCUGCUUAGACUGGAGACUUCUCUACGCACUAAUUGUGCAUUUCAUUUCCAGAGCUUGCUUCAAAACAAUCCCUGUGUACAGACCUUCACUGCAAAGGCCAGGAAAGAAGAAAGAUGGAUGCUGCGUGCACCCCAGGCACUGUUAGAGUGGGUCUAGUUUUGCAAAAACAGCUCUAGCAGUUGUUAUGUACCGCUAGAGGGUAUAUAACAUUUCCCGUCUGCCUUCGUUUUUUUUGCUGUAGUUACUCAUGUCUGUUAUAUGAUGAAGUUAUAUAUAUUGUUUCAUAUGAAGUUAUGCUUUGUUUUUAUAGAUGCUCUGAUGGGCGAGGAGAUUGGCUGGCACUUACUGGUUUUGUUCUGAGCCUUCCAUCUGACUUUCUCUGGGGGGAAACCAGGAAAACCAGCCAAAUGGAAUUGAGAGUCAGCUCGAAUUAAAGCGCCUGCCCAUCCCUUGUGAGCUCCGUGUGUCUGCUCCGAGGUGUGAAAACCCUGCUUAAGGGCGAGCAUCAACUUGUAGUGGAUUUCUUAGAAGCAUCGUGGCUCUGUAGAGGCAAGCGUGAAUGAAGGCUGAAAUGCUGUGAGGCAGUGGAGAAAUGGGUCUGUAAAAGGAAGUGUGUAGGUAACAAAUGAUAGUGUUUCCUUUCCCAAAAUAAUAAAUGCAUUUGUCGGUGAGAUGUAUGAAUUCCUACCAGCUGGUUGCAGUGUAAGCCAGGGCUUCUUGAGGACUGUGCAACCUCCAAAGCUAAAAUCCUUUUUGGUGUAUUCUUAGGAUAAAGAAUUAUCCCCUCUUUUCCAUAUGCUGCUUGGUUAUGAAAUAAAUCACAAGCAUUUCUAUGGGUGACACCAGAACUGGAGGGGCAGCUCUAAAUCUGAAGGGAGGAGGUUUUAAGCCUCCCCACUUGCGCCAAGACAGGAUCCACAAAAUGUGCCUUGUCACUGAUGGAGGUUUACCCAACCUGCUCUUAAAUCUCUCAGCAGCAGAAACUCUGCUCCCUCCUCAAGUGAUCUUUUCCAGGACUUCUUUACAGCUAAAAGUUUUCCCUAAUGUACAGUUUUGCUCUUAUAUGGAUACAUGGCUUCCCGUCCUGGCCUCUGUAGUCAAGGACCAAUAUAUUUUUAUUGCCUUUUUUUUUGGUGAUGUUUUAUUUAAUGUAAGAUUGACCACUUGUCUCCUCCAGCCACUUCUGCUCUUUCCCUGCCCUUUUCCCUGAGUUUUUCAGUCAUUCUUACCACCCUGGGCUGUCAUUAAUUGUCUCAUCUCUCUUGUAAAACCUUUCAUCAUCAGGCUGGAAAUUAGCAUCAUGGAUAUAACAGAAAUCAGAUAAAACACCUGCUGUCAGUGCAUUAGCAGCAUUCACGUGUCUCGCAUUGGACAAAUCACUGUCUUUACGGGGCCCUUUUGGGGUUGUUUUCCUGCAUUUGCAUAAAUAUGUUGAUUAUAAGGAGGCAGCAACACAAAGGCAUCCAGAGAAACGUGACUGUAAGAUAAACGUGUGUGAUGCUGGAGCGAAGCCUGCUGCAGACCCCCCUGCUUUCUCUGACCACCCUGCCCGGAGAAAUUGCUGGCUGUCAGGCACUGAUCUCCCACUGCGUUGCACAGCCAGGCUGGGGGCUGCUACCAGCAGAAGCACGUCUCCUCCUCAGCCUACCCGAGGGGCUAACACCUGGGGUUUUGAU